rnacentral:rRNA from 1 species
CAGCAGCCGCGGUAAUACGGAGGGUGCGAGCGUUAAUCGGAAUUACUGGGCGUAAAGCGUACGCAGGCGGUUUGUUAAGUCAGAUGUGAAAUCCCCGAGCUUAACUCGGGAACUGCAUUUGAAACUGGCAGGCUAGAGUCUCGUAGAGGGGGGUAGAAUUCCAGGUGUAGCGGUGAAAUGCGUAGAGAUCUGGAGGAAUACCGGUGGCGAAGGCGGCCCCCUGGACGAAGACUGACGCUCAGGUACGAAAGCGUGGGGAGCAAACAGGAUUAGAUACCCGCGUAGUCCCUGUCUCUUAUAC